rnacentral:rRNA from 1 species
GCAGGCUGCAACUCGCCUGUAUGAAGUCGGAAUUGCUAGUAAUCGCGGAUCAGCACGCCGCGGUGAAUACGUUCCCGGGCCUUGUACACACCGCCCGUCACACCAUGGAGGUCUGCAAUGCCCGAAGCCGGUGGCCCAACCACUUAUGUGGAAGGAGCCGUCUAAGGCAGGGCAGAUGACUGGGGUGAAGUCGUAACAAGGUAAC